rnacentral:rRNA from 1 species
AUUGAACGCUGGCGGCAUGCCUUACACAUGCCAGUCGAACGGCAGCAUGAUCUAGCUUGCUAGAUUGAUGGCGAGUGGCGAACGGGUGAGUAAUACAUCGGAACGUGCCCUGUAGUGGGGGAUAACUAGUCGAAAGAUUAGCUAAUACCGCAUACGACCUGAGGGUGAAAGUGGGGGACCGCAAGGCCUCAUGCUAUAGGAGCGGCCGAUGUCUGAUUAGCUAGUUGGUGAGGUAAAGGCUCACCAAGGCGACGAUCAGUAGCUGGUCUGAGAGGAUGAUCAGCCACACUGGGACUGAGACACGGCCCAGACUCCUACGGGAGGCAGCAGUGGGGAAUUUUGGACAAUGGGCGAAAGCCUGAUCCAGCAAUGCCGCGUGUGUGAAGAAGGCCUUCGGGUUGUAAAGCACUUUUGUCCGGAAAGAAAUGGCUCUGGUUAAUACCUGGGGUCGAUGACGGUACCGGAAGAAUAAGGACCGGCUAACUACGUG